rnacentral:misc_RNA from 1 species
UUUCCGUAGGUGAACCUGCGGAAGGAUCAUUACAGAGUUCAUGCCCUCACGGGUAGGUCUCCCACCCUUGAAUAUUUAUACCUUAGUUGCUUUGGCAGGCCGUGGAAACACCAUGGGCUCCGGCUUAUGCGUGCCUGCCAGAGGAAACAGACUCUGUUUUUAGUGAUGUCUGAGUACUAUAUAAUAGUUAAAACUUUCAACAACGGAUCUCUUGGUUCUG